rnacentral:tRNA from 1 species
GCUUAGCUCAAUGGCUAGAGCAUCUCGUUUACACCGAGGGGGUUGGGGGUUCGAGUCCCUCAGC